rnacentral:lncRNA from 1 species
CCCCACACCGACAACUCCCCGGCUUCCAGACCCUACCAGCACUACCCUAACCCUCAGCCGACAGUCUCAGCCCCACCGACCCACUUUCUUGGCAUAUAGCCCCACUUAAGACCCCUCCUCUACUUCCUUCUGAGUCCUCUACAAAGACAUCCGGGUACUACAUUUCCAUCCCUUCCCUAUUUUGACACCAAAUUAUGGUGUAGACAGCCCUCCCCCAACCCCAGGCCAGUCAGGCACAAUCCCCCCACCCCCCAAACGUCCUGGACUGCACAGACCUCCCACUCCAGACCAUCCAGGCCUGGUUCCCAAGACCCGAUCCUUCCCCUGCAACCAGACAGUCUACAACUGCCCCCUCCAGCCCAUUUUCUGCCGUGAAACCCCAGCCAGCCACACCAGACUCUGGAACCCUUUUUCGACUGCCCCAACUCUUGGACACCAGGCCAACUAGAACACCCAACACCAAACUGUACAGACUCUCCCACCCCAACCUCCCCAGACUCUGCACGGAUGUCCUAGGCCCCCUCCCCAACUCUAACCAGACCCCAUCCCCCUAAGUCCCUUUGUCUUGACCCCCAAGUCUUCAACCAGAUAUCCUCGGCAACCCACCUCCCACCCUCCUCCUCUUCUCCUUCAAGACCCAACUGAGCACCCGCUCUGAUUCCCCACAGCCUUUCUCCCUGCCACCACUCCCUUAGUCUUUCCCAGGCUUACUCUCCCAAUAAAUGUGCUAGAGCUCUGCCAACUGCUUUGUGCCUGGGCCAGGAAGGAGGGACCGGAGCAGA